AUUGAACGCUGGCGGCAGGCCUAACACAUGCAAGUCGAGCGGAGCGGCGGACGGGUGAGUAAUGGCUAGGAAUCUGCCUGGUAGGGGGGGAUAACGAACGGAAAAGGGCGCUAAUACCGCAUACUAUAAGAUGAGGCUAGGGCGGAUUGGCUAGUUGGAGGGGUAAAGGCAUACCAAGGCGACGAUCCGUAACUGGUCCGAGAGUAUGAUCAGCCACACUGGAACUGAGACACGGUCCAGACUCCUACGGGAGGCAGCAGUGGGGAAUAUUGGACAAUGGGCGCAAGCCUGAGCCAGCCAUGCCGCGUGUGUGAAGAAGGUCUUCGGAUUGUAAAGCACUUUAAGUUGGGAGGCGUUACCAGCAGAAUAAGCACCGGCUAACUUCGUGCCAGCAGCCGCGGUAAUUC
rnacentral:rRNA from 1 species